UGAUGAUGAUGGUAGAGGAGC
rnacentral:piRNA from 1 species